rnacentral:rRNA from 1 species
UCCAGACUCCUACGGGAGGCAGCAGUGGGGGAUAUUGCACAAUGGGCGAAAGCCUGAUGCAGCGACGCCGCGUGAGGGAAGACGGUCUUCGGAUUGUAAACCUCUGUCUUUGGGGAAGAAACCAGACGGUACCCAAAGAGGAAGCUCCGGCUAACUACGUGCCAGCAGCCGCGGUAAUACGGAGGAUGCGAGCGUUAUCCGGAUUUAUUGGGUUUAAAGGGUGCGCAGGCGGAGGUGCAAGUCAGCGGUCAAAUUGCGGGGCUCAACCCCGUACUGCCGUUGAAACUGCAUCCCUUGAGUGCGCGAGAAGUAUGCGGAAUGCGUGGUGUAGCGGUGAAAUGCAUAGAUAUCACGCAGAACUCCGAUUGCGAAGGCAGCAUACCGGCGCGCAACUGACGCUCAUGCACGAAAGUGUGGGUAUCGAACAGGAUUAGAUACCCUGGUAUC